GUAAAAUGGAACUUCUAAAUAUUAAAAAUAUUAUUUAUAGUGCAUAAAAUGGUCUUUCUUAUAAAAAUUCCCAACCAAAUUAACCGGUUUACUGAUAACCGGUUAUUUUUUAAUAACCGCCCAUCCCUACUUGAAAGGGCUCUUGAGAACUGUCAAAGCAGAGCUGCCAGAAUUAUCCUCUUCUUCUCAGGCUAAAAAAAAGAUAGAAACAGGAUGAGGCAAAUGACGUGUAUCUAAAACCACAACAAACAUAAAUAAAUAAAUAAUCGUGGUGGCGUUGCGACGAUGACGUCACUUGUCACUUUUUCAGUCUUGCCUCAAUAAUGUUAAUGGACCAUGACCAUAAGUGAAGGAAAAUGCUAAAUUGAGGAAUUCGGAAAUUUACAAGAAAAUAGCAAAAUACAUAAAUAAACAUUCGAUUAUUAAUUAAGAAGCAGCGGUUCCACUUGAAACGGCUCUUGCAUUUUCCACCUUUGAGAAUUGUACAUAGAUUAAUAUUUCUAAAUAAAAUUUAAUAAAUGAAAUUAAUUAA